rnacentral:rRNA from 1 species
UACGAAGGGGGCUAGCGUUGCUCGGAAUCACUGGGCGUAAAGCGCACGUAGGCGGCUUUUUAAGUCAGGGGUGAAAUCCUGGAGCUCAACUCCAGAACUGCCUUUGAUACUGAGAAGCUUGAGUCCGGGAGAGGUGAGUGGAACUGCGAGUGUAGAGGUGAAAUUCGUAGAUAUUCGCAAGAACACCAGUGGCGAAGGCGGCUAACUGGUCCGGUUCUGACGCUGAGGCGCGAAAGCGUGGGGAGCAAACAGG